UGUAUUAUUCUAUUUUCAGAUUUUUACUUUAUCAGUAAAUCUACAUUGCCUAAAGAGAUGAUUCAAAGAUGCUAAUCUUUACACUAUUUGAAAUUAAAUUCAAAUUCAUGGGAACAUAAACAAACUUGUAAAUUGAGAUUUUGCUAAUCUAAUCAAGGUUCAGGAUGGCCAGUAUACGUGUAGGGGACCCGGAAGACCAUAAUUGGAGUUAUGCUGGUUCUAGUAUGGAUGUUCCGAGUAUCAUGGUGUUCCGUCCAACCUGGGAGGAGUUCAAGGACUUCAACAAGUACAUGGAGAAGAUAGAGGCGCAGGGAGCACAUAAAGCUGGGUUAGCGAAGAUAAUCCCUCCGAAGGAAUGGGUUCCGAGGAAAGCAGGAUAUAAUCUGAAAAGAGACAAAACCCUUCAACAGAUGAAGAUACCGAACCCUAUUUGUCAGGUUGUAAACGGGAACCGUGGAAUAUUCCAAUCAAUCAAUGUUCAGAAGAAAACCAUGACGGUGAAAGAAUAUCAGGAGCACACUAAAAAUGACGGAUAUGAGCCACCGAAAUACAAUGAUUAUGAGGAGCUGGAGCGUAAAUACUGGAAGAAUGUAACGUUUAUCGCUCCCUUGUAUGGGGCAGAUGUAUGCGGCUCCAUAACUGAUCCUAGCUGCGAUCAUUGGAAUAUCGCAAGAUUGGGAUCCAUACUCGAUUACGUAAACAAGGAUUAUGGAAUUGAGAUCAACGGUGUGAACACAGCGUACUUAUACUUUGGUAGUUGGAAGACGACAUUUGCCUGGCAUACAGAGGAUAUGGAUCUCCACAGUAUCAACUACUUACACUUUGGAGCAUCCAAGUUCUGGUACUGCAUACCACCCAGGUUCAUGAAGAGAUUUGAACGACUGGCAGACGGAAUGUUUCCCCAGUUGAAGAAGGAGUGUCCGGCCUUUCUCCGGCAUAAGAUGUGUCUCAUCUCCCCCAACCUGCUCCGCCAGCACUCCAUCCCCUAUAACAAGGUGGUCCAACAUGAGGGGGAGAUUAUGAUCACGUUUCCUUGUGGAUAUCACUCAGGUUUUAAUACAGGGUUUAAUUGUGCUGAGAGUACGAACUUCGCUACCCCUAGAUGGGUUGAGUAUGGGAAGAGAGCCUCCAGGUGCCAUUGCAAAGCUGACAUGGUCAACAUAUCCAUGGAUUGCUUCGUCAAACGAUUUCAACCUGAAAGGUAUGAGAACUGGUUGGCUGGAAAGGAUCUAGGAUACCAUCCUGAAGAUGAUCCUAAGAUGAGUAAGAUGUCUAUAGCUCCUCCUCCUAGUGCAGAGGAGUUCCUAAUCAAUAAAACAAACGAAGAGGUUCCAGACUGUAUCCUCAACCCUGAUCUGAGUAAGAAGAAACACAAGAGGCAUCCGAUCCAUCGAACCCUGGGAGGACGGAGUAUGGCAGGAUUUACUCAGGAUACUCCUAAACCUAAGGAGGGCUCAUUCGGGAACAAAGGAGAUGACUCUGAUAGCGACACAGGUAUAGAGCAGGCUAUCUAUGAUUAUGACUAUGAAGCUCUUGAAGAUAUAUGGUUGAAGGCUGGAGAGAUGGAACCUUCUGAUGCUACGUUUACUACUGAUGAAGGAUAUGGGAGCAGUAAGAAAAGACGACAUUCUGGUAACUCGAUGGAGGAGGAAACUAAUUAUAAGAAGACCCGCUGUGGAGUCUGUCAAGGAUGCAUCAAGGAGAACUGCGGGAAAUGUUUCUGUUGUCUGGACAUGAUAAAGUUCGGCGGACCAAACCGUUUACGGAAAGCCUGUAAUAUGAGAACAUGUCUGAGGAUGACGAACAAGACGAAGACGAAGAAGGUGAAGGAGAAGUGGAACACGGAGGAGUCAAGAAGGAGAGGAUCCAGGGAUCAUAGUAGUGAGAGUAGCACUGGGUUCAGUGAGACUAGUGAGAUGGAUAACAUGGAGGAAUCUGAACCUGAAAUUAAGAACUCAAACUCUGUGAGUAGUAGAGUAGAGAACCCGGCCUCUAAUAUUCUCUCCUCAACCUCGUCCUCGUCUGAGGUUGAGGUCACAGAGGACGUUAAACCUUGUACAGUUCUUCCUGUCCAACCUCAACACAGCAAUAUUCAUCCUAAACCCCAGUCAUUAACCAGAUCUCCAAAGACGUUUGAAAGUGCGUUUCUUAAGUUCUGCAGUGGAACAGCUGCAGAGAAAGUUUUAGGUCCAAUGGGACUAACCGUUCCCCAUCAAACAUCUCUAGUAGUAAAUCCAAACCUGAGCAACACAAUUCAUCCCAUAAUUCCAUUGGUUAAACCUGGACACCCAGAGCAGAACUGUUUGACUUCUAAGCCUUGCGGAGAUCAGAGUCCAUCUAAACCUGGUAUGGUUAGGAUAGAUUAUGCUAAACUCCAGCCUGAAAUACAAGGAGAGAAAUCUCCAGAAUCUGUUACCAAACCUAGUCUCAACUCUACCAUAGAGAGGUUGAAGGGAAAGCUAGGGCAAGGAGAAAAUGAGGUGGGCCGGAAGGACGAGUAUCUGAAAACUACGUCUUCUAUGUUUGGUUUGGUGGAACCGAAGGUUGAAGGAGAAGUGUCGGCCGAGGAGGUUUUCAACCUUCUCCUAGGGGUCGGGAUUACUCCCCUUCAACCUAUAUCUAUUUUAGACAGAGUUUCUAACGGAAGAAAGACGGAGAACUCCGAGACUGAUUCAGACAAUUUUGUUCAAAUUCUCCUUGAACAGAUUCAACAGUUUAAACAGCUCAAAUCUCAGAUCUCAGCAGAGCACCAGCAAAUCCUUAAGCUUGCAGCUUUACCAAAACUAGCAGUGGAAGGACCAAGUGCUCUGAGAAGACUUUUGGCGCAUCUUCAGCAGCUUUCUCCAAACCAACUCAGUAUAAUUAAAGUUGAACUGAAGAGCAGCAGUAAACCCACAAACAUUACCCAGCUAACUAGCACUAGUAGUAGUAGUAGUGGUGGUGGCAGCAAUAGAGUCAACAAUACAAAUAACAGUGACAUUAGGAGCAGUAAUAUCUCCAGCAGUAGCAGUAAUAUCUCCAGCAGUAGCAGUAAUAUCCCCAGCAGUAGCAGUAAUAUCUCAAGCAGUAGCAGUAAUAUCUCCUGUAUUAGAAGAAGAAGUAGGGAACAGACGCUGCCUGAAAUUAAAUGCAUUCAGGUUGGUGUAUGGAGAGGAGAGAUCUAUCUGGAUCAGGUUCCUGGUUUACUCAGGGUUUAUCCUCCUCGCGGAACUGGAUUCUCACAGAAGGAUUUCUCCCUGGACCGAAAACAGAUCAUAGAACUAGGAAUUCCAAACCUAGGUUCUCAAACUCGUCAUAAAUCUUCCAGGAGUGAGUUGGUUGAAGUUGACGGAGAGAAUCUUGUCAAAAUAUUUUUUGUCGACAAAUUUCUGACGAUCAGUGUUGAAGUGUUUAAACCAGAUCUUAUAGAUAUUGAUUAAAUUCAUUUUAGAUCACAAAUUUAUUUUUGCUUCAAUUCAAACUAAAUUUGAUUUAUUGAUUGUAAGUAAAUACAAGAAAAUCUACUUUCUAGAUACAUGUACACUGUAUAUAUCAUGUUCUUUUAACUCUUAACAACAUCACACGCAUCAUUCAUAUAUCGACAUUUUUGAAAAAAAAAUUUAGAAAAUCUUCAUAAUAUUGAAAUAUUAUAUAUGAAUUAAAAUGAUGACCUUGGUCAACUUGAUCUUCUAGAUGUCCUUAACUAUUUAAUGAAGGAACAACUAUUGUUCAUUGAGUUCCUUCUAGUUAAUAAUAUGUAUUCAUCUGUUGUUAAAUGUACACUGUAGUUUUCAAGGAUAUUAUCAAGUGAGCUAUGUUUUUUCCCCAUGUCAAGCAUUUCAAUUAUUUGAUUAAAUUAAUAUUUAAAAAUA
rnacentral:misc_RNA from 1 species